CAACAUCCUAGGCAUCUCACAAGUACAAUCAAUAAUAGCAGGAUUACCAGGUGGCAAUUUAUCAAGUGAACAAGGCCAACCCCCAACAUACAACCCUUCAGAAAUCUCACUAUAUGGAGGUUCCCCACUCUUCAUUCUUCUCAAAGCUGAAAAACCCCUAACAAAAUACAAGUAAGGACUAAACAUAACAAGUGACCAAAUUGGGAAUGUCCCAUCUGUGUUUUUCCCCAAAAGAAUUGGAAGAUCAAUUGAAGGGUUAGCAGCUAAUGCUACCAAUAAAGAUACCAAUGAUGCAUACAAACAAGGUAUUGACAAUAAUGGGUACCCAUAAUUCUUGAGAGUUGCAAAUAAUAUGAAUAAAG
rnacentral:misc_RNA from 1 species